rnacentral:rRNA from 1 species
GACGAACCGUGCGACCGUUGUUCGGAAUCACUGGGCUUAAAGGGCGCGUAGGCGGUCCACCAAGUCAGGGGUGAAAUCUUUCGGCUUAACCGGAAAAGUGCCUUUGAUACUGGUGGACUCGAGGGAGGUAGGGGCAGAUGGAACUGGUGGUGGAGCGGUGAAAUGUGUAGAUAUGUGGAGGAAUACCGAUGGCGAAGGCAGCCCCCUGGGAUAACACUGACGCUCAUGCACGAAAGCGUGGGGAGCAAACAGG